UCCUUUUUAUUUUUUACAAAAUCUUUCAAAUUCGUUUUACAAAAUUUGGCUUAAAUACGUCAUCAAUUUUGAGAAAAGGUUUAUCUAUGUUAUCCGUUAAAAGUUUGACUCAUUUAUGUCAUUUUCAUUUGAAAAAAAAAAGUUCAUUCAUGUCAUUAUUUUUUAACUAAAAAUCUUGUCGAUUUUGCAAAAUCAUUUCAUACACGUGAUUAAUUAUGAUUUGGUUGGAUCAUUAUUUAAAUCAUUUUUAAAGGGAAAAUGCUCAAUAUGUCAGCGUUGAGAUAAGACUUAUCAAUGUCAUUCGUUAAAAGUCUGGCUCAUCUAUAUAUGUCAUUUCAAUAACAAAUAAUGGCAUGGAUGAGCAUUUGUCAAAUGAAAAUGAUAUAGAUGAGUCAUACUUUAACCGAAUAACAUAGAUAAACUUUUCUCAAACGAAAAUGACAUAAAUAAGUCAAACUUUUAAUAAAUAAUAUAAAAUAACUUUUCCUCAAAGUUCGAUUACAUAUUUGAGUCUUUUCUUUAUAUUUAAAAACUCUUUUAAUUUUAAACUUUUCAUUUUGUUCUUUAAGAACAUAUUUGAAUCAUAAACAUAUCACCCAUGUCUUUAAGAACACAAGUUAAGAAUAAUGAAAAGGUACCAAUAAAAAAAUAAUAAUCUUAACCUAUAUGCUAGUCAAACACUACUAUCUAAAAUGAAAUGAAGAGAUCUCCUAAACUUUUUUUUGACUCUGAUACAUCACAAGAUCUUUCACCAUUUAACUUUCAAAUAGUAUGUGCCUAUGACAUAUUCUUGUGUUAGAUGUGUUCACACCAUACACAGAAUUCAUUUUUUUUCUCGGUGACAGGAUUAAAUUCGAAUUCGCAUCAGAAAGUUUCAUAUUAAGGAUAAAACGCUCCGUAACAAAGGCGACUCUGUACCAAGGAACUCGAACCCAAAAAGUACUUAUCACUCAACCACAACCCUUGUUGCAUGCAUAAACAAUUGCUCAGUAGCUUGCUGUAACUGCAACAUAGAGGUAAAUCCCCCAGUCUGCGUUGCUAAUGAAUCUAAAACAGCGCAAACAGAGAAUAUUAAGAUCACUUUAAAACAAUCAUUUUAAUGGUAUAUUUGUAAAAAUAUAAUAUUAGUUCUAUAUACAUAAUUUUUCAAGCACUUAGAAUUAAAAUUUGUUACAUCUUAAUUGAGUCAUUUUGAUGCUCGGAUCCAAA